GAUGAACGCUGGCGGCGUGCCUAACACAUGCAAGUCGAGCGAUUCUCUUCGGAGAAGAGCGGCGGACGGGUGAGUAACGCGUGGGUAACCUGCCCUGUACACACGGAUAACAUACCGAAAGGUAUGCUAAUACGAGAUAAUAUGCUUUUAUCGCAUGGUAGAAGUAUCAAAGCUUUUGCGGUACAGGAUGGACCCGCGUCUGAUUAGCUAGUUGGUAAGGUAACGGCUUACCAAGGCGACGAUCAGUAGCCGACCUGAGAGGGUGAUCGGCCACAUUGGAACUGGGACACGGUCCAAACUCCUACGGGAGGCAGCAGUGGGGAAUAUUGCACAAUGGGCGAAAGCCUGAUGCAGCAACGCCGCGUGAGCGAUGAAGGCCUUCGGGUCGUAAAGCUCUGUCCUCAAGGAAGAUAAUGACGGUACUUGAGGAGGAAGCCCCGGCUAACUACGUGCCAGCAGCCGCCGCUGUAA
rnacentral:rRNA from 1 species